UGCUUGCACUGUGGAAAAUUUUAUGCCUGUUUCUAUGCAAUGGAAUCUAGAAGUUGUACGUCCUUUGCUAACUGUUCAUGAAUACUGCCAGGGAGCACUUAACAAAAUCAAUAUGAAAAUACAAGAACCAGAGGUAGCCUUCAAAAUGGUGAGACCUUGUACCUGCUUCACAAACAGGAGAGGUAAAUCUGAAAGAAAAGUUGUCAAAGACAUUGGACCGUAAGAAACAAGGGAUAAAUCUGGAAGUAGUCUCAAACAUUUUUAUCCGUCGGAAAUGAAAUAGAAUAUUAAAUCCCAACAGCGAAAAAAAUGUUCUGAAAUACUUAUUAUGGCAUUUAUAUAGAAUAACUUAAUUUCAUACUUGCAGCGGUGCAGACUGCAAUAGAGGCAACAAAAAAGGAGAUAUCAAGGAAACACUAAUGUAAGAUUACGUGUGCAAUAACAUUUGGGAUAAUUUAUUAUGCCGAUAUAUGAUUCCCCUGCAACUGCACAACAACAAUAGAG
rnacentral:lncRNA from 1 species